UGGAGUGCAGUGGAGACAUAAGAAUAAUUUUAAAUGCAAAUUAAAUUGUGGGGGUAGCAAAGAGAACAGAUAAAAGACAGUAAAACAAAGCCUUUCACUUUCCUCAAAUUAGCAGGCUAAUGUAAUAUAAAAAAAAUCAGUACUACUCAGAUCUGUGCUAAGAGCUUUCAUUUCAUCAUAAUAUAAAACAGCAGAUCCGUCACCUUUCUCUGUUCAGUACUCUUGAUUUCGAGGUUGAAGUGAAAAUUAGAAGCUGCUCAUUCUGGCUCACAGACUGGGGUUGCAUUUGCUUAGUCUUAUUCCAAGACAGGAGGAUGCAAAGAGGUCAGUAACACUGAGGAAGUCCAGUUGACGUUAUGCAUUAUUCAUCAGAGUUCCAAUCAAACAAUCAAAAUUGUUUGCUUACACUGGGGACAUUUAGUAAGAUCAAAGAAGCCCUCCUUGAAACUACUGGAGCAUACAUCACUGCCAGGCAGCUCAUGGUAUUUUGCAGAAUCUAAUUGAUCAUCAGUACAGGAGUAUUGUAGGCAAACACAAAGUUCCUUCAAAAUGGACUACUUUUUGGAUGUCGAGUCUGCUCACAGGCUGUUUUACAGUCAAGGAGCUCAAGCUCGUCGGGCAACUCUUCUCACUGUGCCCACACUGAUGUCACCAUCUUCUGAGGAGGACAUAGACCGGAGACCCAUCAGAAGACUCCGGUCUAAGAGUGACACCCCUUACCUAGAAGAGGCGAGGAUCUGCUUCAACCUUGAUACAGGUAAGCCCAUAUCCCUUC